rnacentral:rRNA from 1 species
AUUGAACGCUGGCGGCAUGCCUUACACAUGCAAGUCGAACGGUAACGCGGGGCAACCUGGCGACGAGUGGCGAACGGGUGAGUAAAGUAUCGGAACGUGCCCAGUAGUGGGGGAUAGCCCGGCGAAAGCCGGAUUAAUACCGCAUGAGACCUGAGGGUGAAAGCGGGGGAUCGCAAGACCUCGCGCUAUUGGAGCGGCCGAGAUCAGAUUAGGUAGUUGGUGGGGUAAAGGCCUACCAAGCCGACGAGCUGUAGCUGGUCUGAGGGGACGACCAGCCACACUGGGACUGAGACACGGCCCAGACUCCUACGGGAGGCAGCAGUGGGGAAUUUUGGACAAUGGGCGCAAGCCUGAUCCAGCCAUGCCGCGUGCGGGAAGAAGGCCUUCGGGUUGUAAACCGCUUUUGUCAGGGAAGAAAUCUUCUGGGCUAAUACCUCGGGAGGAUGACGGUACCUGAAGAAUAAGCACCGGCUAACUACGUGCCAGCCGCCGCAGUAA